UCCCUCCCCCAUGUAUCUCCCUCUCUAUCUCACACUGGAGCUCCAUCAAUAUGUGUUUCCUGUAAUGAAUACGUUUCAAAACUCCUCUCGUCAAAAUAUAUUUUUCAGUGCUAACUAUAAUAAUUUUUGUUUUUUAACAAAUAUUAUUUAUUUUA